rnacentral:rRNA from 1 species
GCAACCCCGGUUCAGUGGCGGACGGGUGCGUAACACGUGAGGAACAUGACUUUCGGUGGGGGAUAGCCGGCCCAACGGCCGGGUAAUACCGCGUACGACCUUUCGGGGACAUCCCCGGUUGGUGAAAGCAGCAAUGCGCCGAAAGAGUGCCUCGCGGCCUAUCAGCUAGUUGGUGGGGUAACGGCCCACCAAGGCGACGACGGGUAGCUGGUCUGAGAGGAUGGCCAGCCACAUUGGGACUGAGACACGGCCCAGACUCCUACGGGAGGCAGCAGUGGGGAAUAUUGCGCAAUGGGCGAAAGCCUGACGCAGCGACGCCGCGUGUGGGAUGACGGCCUUCGGGUUGUAAACCACUGUCGGAAGGGACGAAUGCCCCGCAAGGGGAGUGACGGUACCUUCAAAGGAAGCACCGGCUAACUCCGGUGCCAGCAGCCGCGGUAAUACGGAGGGUGCGAGCGUUGUCCGGAAUCACUGGGCGUAAAGGGCGCGUAGGCGGCCUGAUAAGUAGGGGGUGAAAUCCUGCGGCUUAACCGCAGGGCUGCCUUCUAAACUGUCAGGCUCGAGCACAGUAGAGGCAGGUGGAAUUCCCGGUGUAGCGGUGGAAUGCGUAGAGAUCGGGAAGAACAUCAGUGGCGAAGGCGGCCUGCUGGGCUGUUGCUGACGCUGAGGCGCGACAGCGUGGGGAGCAAACAGGAUUAGAUACCCUGGUAGUCCACGCCGUAAACGAUGGACACUAGGCGUCGGGGGGAGCGACCCUCCCGGUGCCGUCGCUAACGCAGUAAGUGUCCCGCGUGGAGUACGGCCGCAGGGCUGAAACUCAAAGGAAUUGACGG